CUCCGCCUACGGGGGGCAGCAGUGGGGGAUAUUGCACAAUGGGGGAAACCCUGAUGCAGCGACGCCGCGUGAGCGAUGAAGUAUUUCGGUAUGUAAAGCUCUAUCAGCAGGGAAGAAAAUGACGGUACCUGAAUAAGAAGCCCCGGCUAACUACGUGCCAGCAGCCGCGGUAAUACGUAGGGGGCAAGCGUUAUCCGGAUUUACUGGGUGUAAAGGGAGCGCAGACGGCAGUGCAAGUCUGGAGUGAAAGCCCGGGGCCCAACCCCGGAACUGCUCUGGAAACUGUGCGGCUAGAGU
rnacentral:rRNA from 1 species